rnacentral:rRNA from 1 species
UACGUAGGGGCAAGCGUUAUCCGGAUUUACUGGGUGUAAAGGGAGCGCAGACGGAACUGCAAGUCUGAUGUGAAAGCCCGGGGCUCAACCGCGGGACUGCAUCGGAUACUGUAGAUCUGGAGUGCCGGAGGGGCAAGCGGAAUUCCUGGUGUAGCGGUGGAAUGCGCAGAGAUCAGGAGGAAUACCGAAGGCGAAGGCAGUCUUCCAAGCCGUUAUUGACGCUCAACUGCGAAGGUGUGGGUAUCAAACAGGAUUAGAUAU